rnacentral:rRNA from 1 species
UCCUACGGGAGGCAGCAGUAGGGAAUCUUCCGCAAUGGACGAAAGUCUGACGGAGCAACGCCGCGUGAGUGAUGAAGGUUUUCGGAUCGUAAAGCUCUGUUGUUAGGGAAGAACAAGUACCGUUCGAAUAGGGCGGUACCUUGACGGUACCUAACCAGAAAGCCACGGCUAACUACGUGCCAGCAGCCGCGGUAAUACGUAGGUGGCAAGCGUUGUCCGGAAUUAUUGGGCGUAAAGGGCUCGCAGGCGGUUCCUUAAGUCUGAUGUGAAAGCCCCCGGCUCAACCGGGGAGGGUCAUUGGAAACUGGGGAACUUGAGUGCAGAAGAGGAGAGUGGAAUUCCACGUGUAGCGGUGAAAUGCGUAGAGAUGUGGAGGAACACCAGUGGCGAAGGCGACUCUCUGGUCUGUAACUGACGCUGAGGACGAAAGCGUGGGGAGCGA